rnacentral:lncRNA from 1 species
GUCUGCUGGUUUCAGGCUGGAGUAUUUUUUUACAGUCUGCAUUAUAAGAAAACCUGCGUGUGAAGAAAGGAAGAAGUAAAUGGAAAACAAACUAUAGGCGUGGCCAUUAAUUCUUCUGGGGAGAGGACGGCCUGCCUUCUGCAAGUGUCCAGACCUGCUGCGGGAUAUGCGAGGUUCUGUGGUCAGCAGUAAUUCCGGGGGGUCUGCUGCUGUCCCCGCAAGAGCCCUCCGUCUUCGGCAGCCUGUUCCUUUGUGCUCCUUCCAUGAGGGAGCAGCUGAAAUCAUGAACGAAACAUCGCCAGUAUUGAAGAGGACUCCUGGCAUCCGCCCCUGCAGAAGAAAUCAGUGUAUUGUUCAUUAAAGAUACCCACACUCAUACAGGGAACAUGUUCCAGGGGGGCUGUGGCUGCCCCCUCCCUGGAAGGGCUCAAGGCCAGGUUGGACGGGGCUUUGGGCAACCUGGGCUGGGGGAAGGUGGCCCUGCCCGGGGCAGGGGGUGGCACUGGGUGGGCUUUGAGGUCCCUUCCAGCCCAAACCGUCCUGUGAUUCUGUGCUUGCCAGACCGUGCCAGUUCAGGGUUUCUGUCAGAGGGAGGGGGAGGUCCCGCCCUGCCAAAACCCUCCCAGCCUCCUGCGCAGCCUGGGAGACACCACCAGGCCUCUUCCAGCCUGGGCUAGGUUUCCACCCCAAACCACUAAGUAAUGUACAGAAUAAAUAUAUUUUGUGGGAGAGAGGGAGGGAUACAAGCUGAGAUCUGGUGUCUGGCUCCUUUAGGUAGCGCUGAUGCUCACAGACAUUACUGUAUUCCCAGCGUUUUUCAGAUUGUGUGAUUUACUACAGUUUGCAAAUACACACAGUAACCAGAAGUUAUUAAAUAUGGCUGACUUUAAAGGACAAUGUGUCUUUAACAAAUGCUAUAUAUAUGUUAUAUAAACAUUGCAAAUGUUAUACCAUAUAGUUUUUAUAGUUUUAGACUGCUGUUAACGGGGACAAACAAUGUUUGUAGUCUAAGAAUACUGAAAUGGUUUGGUCUCUAUUUUUUUCUAAUUAUAGAAUUUCAUAUUUACCAAAAUAGAUCUCCUUGCGCAUGUGAUGAAAUAUUUAAUUCCAAACACAAGUAUAAGAUAAGUGCAGCUGGAGUGGAUCUUGACUUGCAUCAAGAAAUCAAAGCAGGCACAAAGGGAAGAGCAUACGGAGCUGUGGCAGGAUGUGAAGGCAGCACACGCGGGGAGCUGCGGCGUGGACCUCGCUGCGUAAGUCAGCGCUGCGGGCUGGGAAAUGGACGUGGGCAGGUGUGGCCUUUGGAAAGGCUUCAGAUAGCUUUUUACCCAGCCUCACCAGAGGAAGGAAACUGA